AUGGAAAGACAUGCAGUGGCUGUUCAUCACCUGAUAAUGGGGGAUGUAGCCAGCCCUGCACCCCUCUCAGCCCCGUAUCCUGGAAAUGUGGCUGCCUUCCUGGGUAUGACCUACAACUGGACAAAAAGAGCCAUAGACCUUCAGGCUAGUGCUGUGAACAUUCAAAAGUGCGUCUCUGGGAAAAGGUUAUGUGAAAAACACCAUUUAAUUUAGAAAGUAUUAAAUUGCUUUUGGCUUCUGCAUAGGCAGUUGAAUUUUUUUUUUUUUUUUGGAAAUUGAAAACAGAUCACUUAAGUAUAAAUAACAUAAGUUAUCAUUGUAUAAAUAAUAAUUGUGUGUUUGAGAAACAUUUUAAAGUUAGUUAACAUUAAGCAAAGAUUUGCUAUAAUGUCAAGUAUGGCAUUUCAGUAUAUAUGAAAGUCAUAACCAGAAUAAGAACAGUCUUAAAAUGCUUUAUAGUUAAGAGGCAUUUAAUAAAUAUUUGUUGAUUGAUAUGAUUUUCAUCUCUCCAGUAAAUGUAAUAAUCGUAAUACUUUGACAAGUUCUGUCCUUUCCAUGACAAAAUUAAAGUUGUGUGCUCCAGCUAUGUUUUCAUCUUCUAAUAUUACAUCCCUCGUGUCCUUCAAUAGCCUUGGAAACCCUGGAUUUAUCCCAAAUUGACAUAAUAUCUCCUGAGGUUCAUUAUGCCUGUAAUCUGGGGUAACGUAAGUGAUGAACCUGAAGAGCUUGCUUUACUCAGACUCCAAUAGUCUUAACUUCUCAGUAAUAUAGCUAAUGUGAGCUCUGAAAUUAUGAGGGAUCUUGUUAUUAACUCACACAGUGUUACCUCCAUUUGAAAAGCAUCCAGUCCAGAGAAGGGAAUUUAUUUGGACAUGAAUCAGUACAAUCUAAUAAUAUUAAUGUUUCAAUAUGUGUGACUCAGGAGAUUACAGCAUAAGACUUGCAUCAUUUAGCUGAGAUAUUUGUUACUUAAUACUGUGUCUUUCUAGAAGUAAUUUGCAUUUUAAAAGCAGAUACAUAGGGAGGAAUCC
rnacentral:lncRNA from 1 species